UUAUGUGAUCGUCUCUCGCAUAUCAAUAAGCGGAGGAAAAGAAACUAACAAGGAUUCCCCUAGUAACGGCGAGUGAAGCGGGAAGAGCUCAAAUUUGAAAUCUUAAAGGGUUUCCCUUUACGAAUUGUAGUUUAAAGAAGUGUUUUCUGUUGAGGUUUUGGUAAAAGUUCUUUGGAAUAGGACAUCAUAGAGGGUGAGAAUCCCGUAUUUGACCUUUACUUUCAACUUUGUGAUACACUUUCAAAGAGUCGGAUUGUUUGGGAAUGCAGUCCAAAAUGGGUGGUAAAUUUCAUCUAAAGCUAAAUAUUGGCGAGAGACCGAUAGCGAACAAGUACCGUGAGGGAAAGAUGAAAAGAACUUUGAAAAGAGAGUUAAACAGUACGUGAAAUUGUCAAAAGGGAAGCGUUUGACACCAGUGUUGUUUUUCUGAAAAUCAAUUAAAGAACUGUUUAUGCUAAGUUGUUUAGACUUUAUCAGCUAUCUGUUUAGUUUUGAGCUUUUCUUUAAUGCACUUUUCAGUUAACAAGUCAACAUCAAUUUCUUUUGCUUGUAAUAAGGGUCAUUGAGGAAGGUGGCUUUCACUUCGGUGAAAGUGUUUAUAGCCUUUGGCUUCUGCAAUCGGAGAGAUUGAGGUCUGCAGCGUAGAUCCUUCGGGGUUAGAUACGUAGAUGCUAAGUUAUAGUUUUUUAUAGACAACUUGUUGACUAUGAUUAAUCAUGUAGCUUACUCGUUUGCGCUAUUUUACCUACGCUUAGGAUGUUGACAGCAGUAUAGACUGU
rnacentral:rRNA from 1 species